GAUGAACGCUGGCGGCGUGCCUAAUACAUGCAAGUCGAGCGAAUGGAUUAAGAGCUUGCUCUUAUGAAGUUAGCGGCGGACGGGUGAGUAACACGUAGGUAACCUGCCCAUAAGACUGGGAUAACUCCGGGAAACCGGGGCUAAUACCGGAUAACAUUUUGAACCGCAUGGUUCGAAAUUGAAAGGCGGCUUCGGCUGUCACUUAUGGAUGGACCCGCGUCGCAUUAGCUAGUUGGUGAGGUAACGGCUCACCAAGGCAACGAUGCGUAGCCGACCUGAGGGGGUGGUCGGCCACACUGGGACUGAGACACGGCCCAGACUCCUACGGGAGGCAGCAGUAGGGAAUCUUCCGCAAUGGACGAAAGUCUGACGGAGCAACGCCGCGUGAGUGAUGAAGGCUUUCGGGUCGUAAAACUCUGUUGUUAGGGAAGAACAAGUGCUAGUUGAAUAGGCUGGCACCUUGACGGUACCUAACCAGAAAGCCACGGCUAACUACGUGCCAGCCGCCGCCGUAA
rnacentral:rRNA from 1 species